GAUGAACGCUGGCGGCGUGCCUAAUACAUGCAAGUCGAGCGAACGGACGAGAAGCUUGCUUCUCUGAUGUUAGCGGCGGACGGGUGAGUAACACGUGGAUAACCUACCUAUAAGACUGGGAUAACCUCGGGAAACCGGAGCUAAUACCGGAUAAUAUUUUGAACCGCAUGGUUCAAAAGUGAAAGACGGUCUUGCUGUCACUUAUAGAUGGAUCCGCGCUGCAUUAGCUAGUUGGUAAGGUAACGGCUUACCAAGGCAACGAUGCAUAGCCGACCUGAGAGGGUGAUCGGCCACACUGGAACUGAGGCACGGUCCAGACUCCUACGGGAGGCAGCAGUAGGGAAUCUUCCGCAAUGGGCGAAAGCCUGACGGAGCAACGCCGCGUGAGUGAUGAAGGUCUUCGGAUCGUAAAACUCUGUUAUUAGGGAAGAACAUAUGUGUAAGUAACUGUGCACAUCUUGACGGUACCUAAUCAGAAAGCCACGGCUAACUACGUG
rnacentral:rRNA from 1 species